GACGAACGCUGGCGGCGUGCUUAACACAUGCAAGUCGAACGGAAAGGCCUCUUUCGGGGGGUACUCGAGUGGCGAACGGGUAAGUAACACGCGAGUAACCCGCCCCCGACUUUGGGAUAACUUCAGGAAACUGGGGCUAAUACCGGAUAGGAGCUCUUGUUGCAUGGUGGGGGUUGGAGAGUUUUGGCGGGUGGGGGUGGACUCGCGGGUUAUCAGCUUGUUGGUGGGGUAGUGGCUUGCCAAGGCCUUGACGGGUAGCCGGCCCGGGGGGGUGACCGGCCACAUUGGGACUGAGGUACGGCCCAGGCUCCUACGGGGGGGCGCAGUGGGGAAUAUUGCACAAUGGGUGGAAGCCUGGUGCAGCAACGCCGUGUGCGGGAAGACGGCCUUCGGGUUGUAAACCGCUUUCGCUCGUGACGGAGCUUUGUGUGACGGUAGUGGGUAAAGAAGCACCGGCUAACUACGUG
rnacentral:rRNA from 1 species